rnacentral:rRNA from 1 species
ACGCUCGACACCUACGGGAAGGCAGCAGUGAGGAAUAUUGGUCAAUGGACGCAAGUCUGAACCAGCCAUGCCGCGUGCAGGAUGACGGCUCUAUGAGUUGUAAACUGCUUUUGUACGAGGGUAAACGCAGAUACGUGUAUCUGUCUGAAAGUAUCGUACGAAUAAGGAUCGGCUAACUCCGUGUCAGCAGCCGCGGUAAUCUGAGCGGGCUGGCAAGGC